AUACGGAGGGUGCAAGCGUUGUCCGGAUUUAUUGGGUUUAAAGGGUGCGUAGGUGGUUUUUUAAGUCAGUGGUGAAAGCCUACAACUUAACUGUAGAGGUGCCAUUGAUACUGGGGAACUUGAGUAUGGACGAGGUAGGCGGAAUUUGUGGUGUAGCGGUGAAAUGCAUAGAUACCACAAGGAACACCGAUAGCGAAGGCAGCUUACUGGGCCAUAACUGACACUGAGGCACGAAGGCGUGGGGAGCGAACAGGAUUAGAAACCCGAGUAGUCC
rnacentral:rRNA from 1 species